GUGGGUUGGGGUUGCUUCUUCUGUUUCUGUGCUACCUGAUAGAGAUUCCAUUCCCAACUUGGAACACGAAAUCCAUCCGGAAGCAUCAGGGCAGAGCCAAUAAGAGGAGGAAUGGUGGUACACUGCAAGGUUGGAAAUGCAGUCAGAGAGAAGAGGAAGAGCUAAGGAAGCGGAUAUUAAAUUGGAGGAGCCCCCUAGGUCGUCAUUAUGAUACCAUCCACAUUCGUCAACUGUUAUGUCCAGACCCCUUCUGCGAGGUGUGUAAUAACACCACUGCUGACAUCAAGUGUCUGCUGUACCCAGAGGCCCUGGAA